rfam:Neotoma lepida isolate 417 scaffold_15592, whole genome shotgun sequence.
UAGCUCAGUCAGUAGAGCAUGAGACUCUUAAUCUCAGGGUCGUGAGUUCGUGCCCCAC